GAUGAACGCUAGCGGCAGGCCUAACACAUGCAAGUCGAGGGGUAGAACACUUCGGUGUUUGAGACCGGCGCACGGGUGCGUAACGCGUAUGCAAUCUACCUUGUACAGGGGAAUAGCCCAGAGAAAUUUGGGUUAAUGCCCCAUAGUAUAUAACCUUCGCAUGUUGGUUAUAUUAAAGUUCCAACGGUACAAGAUGAGCAUGCGUCCCAUUAGUUAGUUGGUAAGGUAACGGCUUACCAAGACGAUGAUGGGUAGGGGUCCUGAGAGGGAGAUCCCCCACACUGGUACUGAGACACGGACCAGACUCCUACGGGAGGCAGCAGUGAGGAAUAUUGGUCAAUGGGCGCAAGCUUGAACCAGCCAUGCCGCGUGCAGGAAGACGGUCCUAUGGAUUGUAAACUGCUUUUAUACAGGAAGAAACCCUCCCACGUGUGGGAGAUUGACGGUACUGUAGGAAUAAGGAUCGGCUAACUCCGUGCCAGCCGCCGCAGUAAGAC
rnacentral:rRNA from 1 species